rnacentral:ncRNA from 1 species
GGUUUCCGUAUAUACCAUUCACUUGCGGAUGAUAGGGGCAGUGAAAAGCUGCUAACCCCUAGUGAGCUCUCCCUACUCCUUUGUACAUAGAGCUCGCAACACCAUCAAAUUGCCGGGACAUCCUGUUCACAUGCUGCUGGUACCUCCAGGCACAGGGAAACCUUGCACUGGAACCAUGGUGAAAGCCGUGGGUAUGGUAAAAAUCUGGCAGCUAGGGACGAUCGGCAGCCAAGCGCUAAGGGAGUCUCAUUUUAACUGAUGAGGCUCUGAAGCGUGCAGUUCACAGACUAAAUGGUGGUGGGUUCCCUUGGGGAGCUUAAGAUAUAGUCGGUCCCCACCGCAAGGUGGGCUCAUGGGAGAAAAGCCUUGUAAGAAGGCUGGAGAGCCCAUGAGCAGCUUGAGCAGUUGUUCUCAAGCUGGGGUAAACGAGAGGUGA